GGGGAUGUAGCUCAGUUGGCUAGAGCGCAGCAUUCGCAUUGCUGAGGUCGGCGGUUCGACCCCGCUCAUCUCCA
rnacentral:tRNA from 1 species